rnacentral:rRNA from 1 species
AGUUUGACUCCUGGCNCAGAACGACGCUGGCGGCAGGCCUAACACAUGCAAGUCGAACGGGACCUUCGGGUCUAGUGGCGGACGGGUGAGUAACGCGUGGGAACGUGCCCUUUGGUUCGGAAUAGCCUCGGGAAACUGGGAGUAAUACCGGAUAAGCCCUAUUGGGGAAAGAUUUAUCGGGAAGGGAUCGGCCCGCGUUGGAUUAGGUAGUUGGUGGGGUAAUGGCCUACCAAGCCGACGAUCCAUAGCUGGUUUGAGAGGAUGAUCAGCCACACUGGGACUGAGACACGGCCCAGACUCCUACGGGAAGCAGCAGUGGGGAAUCUUAGACAAUGGGGGAAACCCUGAUCUAGCCAUGCCGCGUGAUCGAUGAAGGCCUUAGGGUUGUAAAGAUCUUUCAGUGGGGAAGAUAAUGACGGUACCCACAGAAGAAGCCCCGGCUAACUCCGUG